rnacentral:lncRNA from 1 species
AUUUUAGGUUAAUAAAGAUCAAGGAUUCCUUUUAGGGGUUCACUUGCCAGCAGCUCCAGCUUUGGAACAAUGGCUUUCACAGAGACAUGCCUCGGCCUGCGGUUGGCACCCCUCUGGGUUCUACGUCCAACCUCGCGGCUCAGUGAAAACUCCGGCGGAGCGAGACCCGAGUGGAGACCAACUCUCGGGAAAUGAGGACUGUGGAGAGCAGAGGCGAUGCUCGAGGUAGAGGAGGGACCCAUGCUGGAAGGAUGUCAAAGGACGCUGUGCAUCCCAGGGUUAUAAAUCUCCUUAUGCUCCUACGAACGAGGCAGGCGCCUCCCCUCUCUCCCCGCUGCCCUUAGUCUAGAAGGAAAUGAAGCCUGUUGGGGAAGGUGCACAGGGACACUUGGCCUCAGGGACUACGGCGUCAGCCCUUGUCAGCACAGAGGCCGUGUCAUUCCUCCCUGGCUGAGCAUCGCUCCUGCUUGUCCACCCUCCGCUGCCAGAGAGGAUGAUAGAAGGACCCGGCUCCCUCCCACACUGUCCAGAAACUCAGCCCUGUUUUGACUGACUGGGUAGAGGAAGGAGUUACUAGGAUGGGACAAAGAAUUUGAGGACGGGGGUCCUUACUGACCGUAAAAGAGUGAGUGAAGUGGAGCAGGAAGGGUGGUCUGAGACAAAAGGCAGAUGUGUUUUCCUCUUGCCCUUCCCUGGGGGUCUUCUGACUCUGUCAUGACAGAGUUCCACUGUGUCUUCUGAGUAAAGGGAGGUAAUGUCCAGGACAAAGUCAGCUCUUAUGACAGGAGACAGCCAGACAUUUUUUAAGUUGCCAGUUGGAUGCAUGGUUAUUGUUUACUUAGCAGAAGAGAGAAAGAAAGCCCCAGGUCUUCUCUGUAGCACAUAAUUCUGGUCUGACACAGCCUGUCCGCUCAGCGGGCAUUGUCAUCUGACAUAAAAACAGGAAUAGGAAUUCAUCCUGGACUGUCAGCUGCUCCUACAGCCACGCUGUUGAGAGUGCCUCUUCCUCCCCACUGUGUGCGGCUGCCAUCAUGCUGCUGUGUUCCAGAACGGCUAAGAACUGUAGCGCAAACCCCAGUGUACACGGGACAGGCAGGAGGAGUCUCAUUAAAACAGCUUGUGGGACGUAACCGCAGAACCCGAGACAGCGGAGGAGACGGCUGGAGGGAAGACUACAGACACAAAGGAAAGCGGGGUGAGCCCAGCCCAAGGCCUGGGGCGCGGCUCGGCAACAGGUCGCACUGUGGCUGGACGGCGUUUGCUGUUUCCUCCUCCGCCAAAGGGCAGGGUGUCAUUUUGCUUCUCUGGAGGAAAACGGAGGCAGGCACAGUGGAUUCCCGUGAUUUGCGAGACGUGUGCACUGUAAAGCGCUGCGAACGUGGAAUUCGCGAAGACUGAACCGUCAGGAAACAGGCUGAGGGCCCCUCGGGACUCUGCUCACAAUUUCGUCAACCGAUCAAUAUGAAACCUUGUUUUCUGAGUGUUUUUGUUUAAAGAUGCCCUGUUUAAUAUAUACUGUUGGUUCAUUAACAUGGAACUCACGGCGACGGGACUGGAAUUCCUCAUGAACGAAGCUCACUAAACACAUUUUCUCCCGGAGGCGCAUCACGGCUGACACUACACAGCACUUCAGCCCUGUGUCCGGGGCCAUUUUAAACAGCAAACACCAAGAAAGGGCACAAAACUGCAAAAAAAAUGCGGCACUAAAUGGACUGCAGAAAGGACAUGUUUAAACGUGAGCUGCAACGGGAAGGCAGAGCGGCCUGUUCGACCUCGGCUGGGCCGAUUCCCGAGGCGCCCAGGCUGGAGGGGACCCUCGGAAUUAGCUGAUACGAUCCGAGGGUGUGAAGUUUCCAGGUAAGACAACUACUGGCCGACUAGUCCCUCUUGGGAAGGAACUGGAGAGCGCGCUGCUGGUUGAGGUGGCCCGGGAAAGAGGAGCACUUCAGACCUCACUGGCAAAAGCUUCUUUCCAUAACGGCAGGUGUUUACUUCUAUUUACAAGCAAAAUAAACCGAACAAAGUGAGGCUACA